AACGGGAGAGUGGACCCCGGGUGGAGCCAGCUGCUGAGAGUUUCUCUCAAGCUAUGCUGCUUCUUGAGAAGUGCUGCAUGGCUGGAGAGUGCAUUCAUCAGUUGGUUUGCAGCAGUAGAGGACCAAUGGUGGAUCUCUUUAAGUAUGGAAAAUUGAAAAUCUUUCAGGGUGUGAAUAGUUAAAUUGGAGAUGUUCAAGCAACCUUGACUUCAAAACAAAGCUGUGGUAGAUGAGGCUGUUGCUGAGCUCCAGAAGUACAGAAAACCACAUUUGCAGAGGAUUCAUUUUCAGCCCUAAAACCUGGAGAAAUGAAGUAAAGUUUACUACUGAACUAGAAUGAUAUUUUUUUUUACCUGCCUGAAGCAAAGAUGUAAGAUUUGGAUUUACUCUGAACCACUAAUUCUCCAUUUCUACCAGUGCUUCAAAGAGUUAUCAUUCAUUUUGUACCACUUUUUACAUCUCCAUUGCCCUUCUUUAAGUUUGCUCUUCUCUGUGCGUCUGACCUCUGGUAGGGAUGGGGACGUUAAAAGAUCCACUGAUCUGUUGAGAGUAAAGACUAGGACUUCAAAAAAGAUGAAUGUGUAUUUACACACUGGAUUUACUUUUGUCACUGAAACUUGAAUAUGUUUUUAAAAAUGGGGCAGGGUUUGUUCCAAGUAUGGUAACUUUUCUUAUGUCUUUUAAGUAUACAUUUGUGGUUGAACAAAGAUGAAGAUUCCUGAUUCACAGUAUUUCCAAUUUAAACUACAGUAUUAAUACAAACAUUAAAGGAGUGUUAUGAUUAUCUCCUUGCACGAGAGUAUGGCAAUGUAUUUGAAUAUAAAAUAGCAAAGGUUGUAAUAUCCCACUUUCUUCUGCUAAACCACUUCAUACAGUUGUGCAUUAACAGGAAAAUGUUUGAGAGACGAGAUGAUUUAAGAUGAGGUUAAAUGAAUUAAAGUCUUAUGGAUAUCAUGAAAAUUAUGGGCUUCAUAUGUCUUAUAUUUUAGUAAUACCUCCAGAUCAGCGGACUUGCAUGUUCUUAUCUUUGUAUGUAAUUCUGUUGUGAUUGAAGUAAAAUAGUGUGUGAUACUCUAAGGAUCAUAGCCUCAACUAAUAAAUAUGGAAACAGUGUAAACUUUCUGUUAAAGGAAUUAGACAUGUAACAGCAAUUGUGCUGUCUCUUAGAAUGUUCCCCUGAAAUCCCAUCUGAGAUGCUCUCUGGGCAGAUGUCUUUGCUCGCAGUGUCUAAAGUAACACUAGAUAUCAAUAUUUAAGCACAGAAUUGUUUUCAUUGUUUAUUGCCUGGUUGCUUCUUGCGUCUUACAGGAGUAGAAAAAUCUCAGAUAUAAUUAGACAGCCAUGGAGGUUUGCCCUUGGAGUGCAGAUCUAAGUUGUGGGGUUUUUUUUACAGCUGUUCCUGAAGCUUGCAAAAGGUUGUGUGGAAAGCAGCUGCUUAGAAGCCCUAUUUUAACAGAAACCUACACUAGGGAAUACUUCUGGUUUUCUCUACGUUUAUGCCCAUCCAUUGUCUUUGUGGAAAAAGAACUGUGCCCCAUUGUCUUUGAUCUGGAAUAUGCUGUGAGAAACUUGCCACCAGUUUUUCUUGUAUGAAUUGUUCCAGGGACUGAACAUGCACAAAGAAACAAAAUACCUGUUAGUGAAAGUAUUCUUCCUCAUAGUUAGGGAAAAGUAUUUUAGGAGAAAAUCUUGAGGCAAAUUUUACUGAUACAAGCAAUGUAUUCUCACAUAUCUUAGUAACUUCUGUAUUGAAUUAGUACAUGCACAUUAAAUUCAUCUUUAUUCUUUGGAUUAAUAUAGCAGAGUAACUCCAAUUUUGAACCUCCACACAAGCCUGAAGAAGUAUAUACGAAAGUAGUUGGGUCAUAUCUUAAUCCAAAUGAACUGUAUUUAGGUAAUCAUUUUAAAAGCUCUACGAGGUUGACAUUAGAUAGCUGAUUGACUAGUUUCCUAAAUCUAAGCCAAAGUCUUCACAAGUGCUGCAAUAUCAUAACAGGACUAUAAUUAUCCAAUAGCUUUUCAUUGCUCUAAAUAUUUUAAAGGCAUUUAGGGUACUUAAAGACACUAUUAAAAAGUACUCCUUUUCACUUUGACGUUCUCCUGGAAGCCAGUCAGAAUUGUGUUUUGCUGCCUGUCUGAAGGUACUGAACCAGUUCACUUUAUGAAAAAGAGCAGUUCGACAACUUUUGUCAUCAUUGUUUUGUAGAUGACAGUUUAGGACAGGACAUGGUUUGUAAUUAGCAUUAUCAGGAGUAUUCUUUAGACACGUGCAUUUCAAUUUUGCAAUUCGUUUUACAGAUUCAGUCUCAGAAGUGUAAAUGAUUUGUUUCACUUCAGCUUGACAACAUCAGUAUAACGAGUUUCUAGAUAGCUCUAUUUUAAUGCCCAACUAAAAUUUGGAUUCACAAAAGUGAAAAGGAGGUUUUGCUGACUCUGAUAGAUGACUUUUAUUAGAAAAUUUGCAGGAGUUCUUAUAUUAAAAUAUACCAUAUUAGCUCCAGUAAAGGCUCCACUAGCUCUUUGUUCUUCGUGCCACAGAAGUGAAAUCUGUUUUGAGUGUCCUUCAAUAACGUUGUCUUUACACUUAGAUCUCUCACUGGAUGAAUACUUGUACAUAUUUUUGUGAAUCAUUAAAAUUUUCACUCUCCUUCAUCAACUGAGAGAAAGGAGGGAGAUAUGCGGAAAGUGGAAGCAGGGUUGUGUAUCCUGAGAGGAAUACAGGACUGUUGUCUGUGUGUAUAGAGAUAGGAUUAGGAAAGCUAAGGUGCAGAUGGAGCUGAACUAGGCAGCAGAUGUGAAAGAUAACAAGAAGGGGUUUUACAGAUACGUGGGCAGGAAGAGACUGGCCAAGGAGUGUGUUCUCCCUCUGAUGGUAGGUAAUAGGGAACUGGCUUCUUCAGACAUAGAAAAAACUGAGGUACUCAAUGAGUGUUUUCCCUCAGUCUUCAUGGGUGGUCAGGCUUCCUGUGUCUGCCAAGACUGUGAGUCUCUA